GCUCCAGUAGCGCAAUUGGUUAGCGCAUAGUAUUUAUAGGGCAGUGCUGUGUGGAGACAUGCUGAGGUUGUGAGUUCAAGCCUCACCUAGAGCA
rnacentral:tRNA from 1 species